GAGUUUGAUCCUGGCUCAGAACGAACGCUGGCGGCAUGCCUAACACAUGCAAGUCGAACGAGACCUUCGGGUCUAGUGGCGCACGGGUGCGUAACGCGUGGGAACCUGCCCUUAGGUUCGGAAUAACUCCCCGAAAGGGGUGCUAAUACCGGAUAAUGUCUUCGGACCAAAGAUUUAUCGCCUUUGGAUGGGCCCGCGUUGGAUUAGCUAGUUGGUGGGGUAAAGGCCUACCAAGGCGACGAUCCAUAGCUGGUCUUAGAGGAUGAUCAGCCACACUGGGACUGAGACACGGCCCAGACUCCUACGGAGGCAGCAGUGGGAAUUGUUCGCAAUGGGCGCAAGCCUGACGACGCAACGCCGCGUGGAGGAUGAAGAUCUUCGGGUCGUAAACUCCUUUCGAUCGGGAAGAACGUUUUCGUGUGAACAACACCGGGAAUGACGGUACCGAGAGAAGAAGCCCCGGCUAACUCUGUGCCAGCCGCCGCCGUAAC
rnacentral:rRNA from 1 species